rnacentral:lncRNA from 10 species
AACUCAGCAGAGAGACUGACUCUGUUUGGGAGAAUGUAAGGGAAGAAAGCAAGAGUUUCUGCCUGAGAGAAGAGAGCAUGGAGGCAGAGCAGAAACUUCGUUAGCAGGCAUUCUGUCCUUUGGUUAAAAGAUAAAAGUGGCCAAGAUGUGGAAAAAGGAUAAUAAAACACAAAGGAAUAAGAGUUGUAUAACUCUGAGGGACGUAAAAGAAGUUAUAUUGGGAGCUAGUUUCAAGAUGAAAUACUAAUUCUAAGCCAGUCUAUCCAUAUGGGGAUGGGGAAGCCUUGGCAUUGUCCUUUUUCUGAUAACCUUUGGACCCUUUGUAAUAUUUUAUUUGACAUUUUAUAUCCUCUGCUUUGUGGGUGGGGGUUUAGUGGUUACUCUCCUGUUUGGAAAAACAAACUCAGAGAAGUACCUAGAACAGUGUGAACACUCAUUUCUUCCUCCAACAUC